AAGUCGUAACAAGGUUUCCGUAGGUGAACCUGCGGAAGGAUCAUUAACGAGUUUUGAAAGGGGUUGUCGCUGGCCUUUCACGAGGCAUGUGCACACCCUGCUCAUCCACUCUCAACCUCUGUGCACUUAUUGUAGGUCGGUGAAAGGCUCGCAAGAGCUGGAAGCCUGCUUAUGUUUUACUACAAACGCUUCAGUUAUAGAAUGUUUACUUGCGUAUAACGCAUUUAUAUACAACUUUCAGCAACGGAUCUCUUGGCUCUC
rnacentral:misc_RNA from 1 species